AAUAGCAGCCAUAUCACCCUGCAACUCACAACUGGCAACCCACUGAAGCUAAGCAGGUGUGAGCCUGGUCAGUACCUGGAUGGGAGACCUCCUGGGGAAAACUGGAAGAGGUGUUAGUG
rnacentral:rRNA from 1 species